rnacentral:tRNA from 1 species
GGCUUCGUAGCUCAGCUGAUAGAGCGCUUGCCGCGUAGAGGCAUGGUGUUUCUGUCGCUGGUUCGAAUCCAGCCUAAGCCC